rnacentral:lncRNA from 1 species
AUAAAUUUGAUAAUGUUUUGAUACUUUGAAAUGGAAUUUAAUUAUUAAUUAGUUAUAAGCUUGUUGAAUUUUGAGAUGUAAUUGGGAGUAAAUUUGAUAUGAGCAUAUUUUGUUAAUGACAUAUUGAUAAAUGUUGAGUUACGAUACCAUGAUAUUAAGCUUAAAGGCAUUCGAUCAUGAGAUGGAUUAAGGUAAACUAAAUGAUAUUCGGCAAUGGUACUUUUUACAUGAGAAAUUCGGUGUUAAUUGUAUUAAAU